UUAAAUAAGCUAACAUGACUACAAACAUUCAACACAAAAUCAUAAACCGAAAAACACACAGAUCGCCACUAAAACUGCGAAUCAUAACAAAAAGAAACAGAAUCAAUUAUGGCUGUGGAAGAUCAAACCUUGAUCACAAUAGUAGACUCCAUAUCCAGCAUUCCAGGUAAACCAUCAAAGAGUUUUGUGUACUCCAACCGAACAAAUAACCGAAACCCAAA